GAUGAAGAACGCAGCGAAAUGCGGUAAGUAGUGUGAAUUGCAGAAUUCAGUGAAUCAUCGAAUCUUUGAACGCACAUUGCGCCCCUUGGUAUUCCAUGGGGCAUGCCUGUUCGAGCGUCAUUUGUACCUUCAAGCUCUGCUUGGUGUUGGGUGUUUGUCUCGCCUCUGCGUGUAGACUCGCCUCAAAACAAUUGGCAGCCGGCGUAUUGAUUUCGGAGCGCAGUACAUCUCGCGCUUUGCACUCAUAACGACGACGUCCAAAAGUACAUUUUUACACUCUUGACCUCGGAUCAGGUAGGGAUACCCGCUGAACUUAAGCAUAUCAAUAAGCGGAGGA
rnacentral:misc_RNA from 1 species